rnacentral:rRNA from 1 species
GAUGAACGCUGGCGGCGUGCCUAAUACAUGCAAGUCGAGCGAACGGACGAGAAGCUUGCUUCUCUGAUGUUAGCGGCGGACGGGUGAGUAACACGUGGAUAACCUACCUAUAUGACUGGUAUAACUUCGGGAAACCGGAGCUAAUACCGGAUAAUAUUUUGAACCGCAUGGUUCAAAAGUGAAAGACGGUCUUGCUGGCAGUUAUGGCUGGAUCCGCGCUUAAUUAUCUAGUUGGUAAGGUAGCGGGUUUCCACGGCAACGAUGCAUAGCCGACCUGAGAGCGGGAACGGGGUCCAGAGGCCUGCGAGAGGCAGCAGUAGGCUAUGUGACGCAGUAGUCGGAAACAUGACGCAACGAGGCGACGUGUGUGGUAAAGGUGUUCGGAUCGUAAUACUCUGUUAUUAGGGAUGAACAGAUGUCGAAGUAACUGUAGAGAGAUUGACGGUACCUAGUCAGGAAGCACCGGCUAACUACGUG